GACGACACGAUGCGGAGCACAGGCAGACACGCAGUAUAAAUACACACACCAGGUAAUUAGGAAAUGGCAGACAGGCGGGGACACAGCUGGAACUAAUGGACAUAACGAGACAACCUACAAAGUAAAACAGGAAACUCACAGACUGUUUUACACAACCAACUGGGGACACGAACAGAACACAGAGGAGAGACACAGAGUAAUUAUUUAGUGUCUGUGGCUGAAGUUCAACAUACAAUGGCAGAAAAACCCUUGACAGACUGGGACAGUGGUCUCUUGGAUUGCUUUGAGGAUGCGAGUACUUGCUGCUAUGGUUUCUGGUGCGGCCCCUGCCUCGCCUGCACCGUUGCAGGAAGGUUUGGAGAGAACAACUGUCUUCCCUUAUGUGAUAUAUGCUGUUUUAUUACAUCAAGAUACUUUUGCGUUCCUAUUCUUCCACCCCCUGCAGUCUUGUCUUUAAGGGCUGCCAUGCGAAACAGAUAUGGCAUCAAGGGCUCUCUCUGUAAGGAUAUUGCAAUUUCCUGUUGCUGCUGUACGUGCUCCUGGUGUCAGAUGCAUCGCGAGUUAAAGCAUCGUAAGCAAGCCCCCACUGUGGUCAACAUACAGAAUAACAACAUUGUGAACAUGCAGCCUUUUCCAGUCAUGCAGGCACCCAUGAUGAUGCCUUCACAACCAGUGCCAGCUGCUUAUAUGGCUCAACCAGGAGUCACUGUGGUCUCACAGUGACGAAAUCCGAGUUUGUGUUGAUGUUUCUAUCAGUGAUACGAGACAAUGAAGUCAUUUUGAAUUGAGAGUAUAGUUAAAUAUUUCUAUCAGCUUCCUAAUAAUCAUAAAAAUUACAUUUAGUUUAAAUGCAUGAGUCGCCUUUUUAGAUUAGUCACUGCAUAGCUUCAGUAAUAAUACAGAGGACUGAAUUUUAGUCUAUUAAUUUUUCUGCUAAUGAGAAAAACAUACUUGCAUUUAGAGCUAAACGUGGUGUUAGAUCUGCUCUGAUGUUAAAACUGAUGUAAAGUGUUUUUUUAUCAAUAAAAAUAUGAAAUCCAAGA